ACGUGCCUCAUCUACCAAUAAGGGCUUUAUUUUAUACCAAAGUUUUAAGCAGCUACAGUUUACAAUUCAAACCUAUGACUGCACUCAAAGCUGCAGUGACAUUUUUCAUCUGGUUCAGCAUCCCAAUCUAAAGCACACAAUAAUUUCCUACGAUGGUGAGGCAACUGAAUCGAUAACACGUAGACCAGAUCGAGAGUUGAAACUCCACACUACAGGAAAACCAGAGCAAGACAGAUGGCUGAAGACAAUAUUUUAUCCGAACAAUAUUCAUUGCAUCCAUGCUUACCUCCCUCUUCCCCUGUAGCUCCAGCCCAUAGCAUUCCACAGUUUAAAACAGAGCAGAUAAAGGGUGAGACAAUACCUCAACAACAAUUGCUCAACGACUUAAGUGUCAUUUAGUUAUUCUUAUAUAAAAUUACACUCUAAAGUAUCUAGGCUUCAUUGCUCUUGACUGAGUACUCGUGUUCACUGACAUCCUCUAUUGCUAAAUUGCUGAUGCGUCAUCAUUCCUCAGGUUUCACAGUUCAGAGGAAGAAAUGCAAUUGAUUAUUUUUAAGUGGUUGGCUGACAUAUUGACCUAGCAUAGAUCAAGCAAUUCCAUGACAAUCUUAGUAUCAAGACUAACUUGUGCAUUCAUGUCAACAGCACUCUGUUUUAGAAGGGAAAUGCUUUCAUCCAGGGAAGCUUGUUGUCCAGCCUAAUACAUAGCAGAGCCAUAGUCUCAGUUAGCCUCUAGCACAACAUAGGAGAAACAAAUCAAGUCAUUCAAUCAAAAGGACCUUAAAGCCCUCCUCUUUGGGGCUUCGGGAUGCUGAGCGCUCGCGGGAGACAUGGAUCGCGCCAUCACAAUGCCCUUGACACAUAAGAUUUUAGCACCUGGGACAUAUAAAGAAAAAUCAGAACAAAGGUGAAUCUAUUCUGAUAGACAUCGAGAGUGAAGGGGGGAGAAGGAUUGAGAGAAACUUGCCUUGACAUCAGCCAUCCCUCCAUGAGAGUGCCGCUUCGAGCUCCUCCCGUGCACACCAUCUUCAGCCGUCAGGAUCUCUCCUUCGCUCCAAUCCAUGACGCUGCAGCUCCUUGUCUCUAAUCACACCAAAAAUGAUUCAGUAUUGCCAUAACUGAAUCUAUCAGAAAAAUGAACCAAUGUUUCGUAGUACUCCUAAGUUGGAGUAAUCAUGUAAGAACAUGCUUGAGCUCUUGCAAUGGAACCUAGAGUUAAUUACCUUAAUACCAAAGUAAGCUGGGCCUUCCAUUUUUUACUUUUGUUCUACAAAUUUCAUAUAGAAAAAUAUACAAUCAUCAAAAUGUAACAAAGCCGUAGUUCCACAAGCAAAUAAAGCAUUGAAACUAUAAGGCAUUACAAACUAAGUAAGUACAAUUCAAAUGUAAAUAUGAAAUGGUGACGCAGAAAUUAACAAAGCGAACUGCAGUUCAGUACCAAACACUGUCUUUUAGUUCUGUGAUGAUCACAUAAUUAACAAAGACUGGACAAACACCAUUCUGAGAAACUCUACUGGCGCAACCAGCAAACCAUACACACGGUGAUCAGCCUCUGCAAUAGAAACACAUGGUGCCCGCACGCCUCGGUUUGUACAUGAAAACAUACGAAACAUUAAAAAGCAGAGAAGCAAGAUAUGUAGUGUUCCCAUCAACCAUUGAAAGAUUCAAUUAGGAAUGAAUUAGUUACUUUUACACACAGUAAAGAAUGAAAGCUUUAAAAACCAUCAAAACAUAUUCAGUCAAAUCAGCAGCAAUCUGAAAUUACAACUACCAUGAUAUUUUUAGAAACCAAUCUUGCAAACAAAGUAGGAUAAUUACCACAAUCUUCUAGGAAUUCAUGGUCCCACCUAGCUAGUCUCAAUAAACGCCAAAAGUUGGUGAUCCCAUAAAUGUAUUAAGUGAUUGUCUUAAAGUUUGGACCAGACUCACACAAUUAUCCCUGCAAAAAUUGGACAGACUGAAAUUACUAAUACUUCGUACUUGCACAAAACAGAAAGGUAUAUAGUCAGAAAAUAGUCAAGUAAAAAACCCUCUCCAUCCCAACCACUUCAUUGCAAUAUUAAAAUGAGACAGAUUCCUUAGCCAAAUUUAUAAUGGUAAUACAUAGUUUAGAGAUUGAAUGAUAUCCCUAAUAGUAAACUAAACUAUAGAAGGUGCUACAGCUAGCCAUCUUUGCUGUAACAACACGAUGAUAUUCCUAAGAAACUAUCAUCUGCAUUGGUACUUUCUCAGGUUUAGGAUAUCCAUUCCUUACAUGGUAAUGCAACCCAACAUGAUAUCCUUUAUGCUUAUGGUUAAUACGAAAGAUUUAGUAAAAUAAAAAGUAUCAACAGAAAUAGGGUCAUUACUAAAUUGUUAAUCUACUUAUCUGCAAUCCAUCUUCAGAGAUCACUCUACACGAUGGUCAUAACUUCUAUAUAUUAAUUCCUCUAUACUUCCAUUUUGUGAAAUGAUCUGCGAAAGUAUUAUAUGUACUCGUUAGAAAAAUACUCAUGAAAGUACACUGUUCCAAAAAUGGAACAAUAAAUUUGACACAAACUUGAUGACAGUCUGAAGCUAAACUCCUACCGUGAGGCCAUAUAUGCAUUUUGUUAUGGAAUGGUCUGAAUCAUAAAUUCGCUGCCAGGAAAGAAACCUGCACAAUCAGGAUUAUACACUAAGAGGAAGGACUAAAGAAAAAAAAUGCAGACAAAUAAAAAUAUUAACACAAAAAGGUCAAUCGGUACCAAGAAAAGGGGUCGCCAAAAGAUGUAGAUCCAAACUGAACUGAAUUUUGGGGCUAAAUGACACGAACACAUCUAUUUAAGGAGGAGCUCAAGUGGACCUGGUGCUUCAGCGUAGUCGAGGGCACGACAUCCCCUGAUGCACUCACGAGAGGGUUUACUGGAUUCAAAGAGAAGAGGAGGCGGCAGCCGCUGAACUCACCACCAGUCAUUGAUAGUUACUAGAAGAGAAGAGAAGAAGAGGGAUUACUGGAAUAAUUUUUAGAGACUGCAAUGAGCUACAGCUAAAGCAACAUUAUUAUCACAAGUCAUUGAUAGUUUUCUAAUCACAAAGAACAACAUGAUGGUUGGAUCAAUGUCGAUGGAAUAAUUUCAAGUUGCAAGAGAGAUGUAGACCGGAGAGAUGUGCCCCAAUGAUGAUGACACCAAUCUGUAGCAUGCGAGCUCUUUGUGUCUAGGUAGGCGAGCACCCACAGGUUGGGAGCACAAGCGAUCCUAAGCCCCACCACACCAUUAGGCGGCAGGAGCAAGAAGAGCCGCUCCAGGAGUGGCGUGUCCACCACGGUGAACUCCUUCGCCUUGGGCAGACCAACGAGCGUGCAACUAAGCCCCACCACACCAUUAAUUAUGCCCACUGCGAUGAAAAUUUCUUCAUUUACAGGUCCGAUAUCAACCGCGACCCACCCAAACUCUUCCCAAUGCAUGGGCUAGACACCUAAACUCCAUGCCAUUGGCAGGCUGUAAUUUAGGCACCGCAAGCAAAACUAUCAAAGCUAUGCAUCCAAAAAGUGCAGGAAAGUUGCUACCAAUUUCCCAUUGACUGAACAUGCAAACCUGAAACAUAAACAGAGUAGAAACAAUGAACAUUUCCUCUGAUAUGAACUCUCUUUGCAAGUAGGUAAGCAACACAAUAAGUGUAUUAUGUUUAAAGGAAAUGUAACUCUGUUACGCACAUGUUAAAUUGCACUUGAAUUAUGCUUGUAUGCAGUUUGCAUCUGCUUAUCUGACAAAUAGAUGUUAAUUUAAGUGUUCAUGCUGUUACAUUUCUGUCCAUUUGCUUGCUUACCGCCCAAACUUUCACCAGAUAGUGCUUUCUGUUGUGUUUUUGAUGUUGUCGCAUUUGACAAAUAAUAGUACUAUAUCAUCUGUUGAUUAGAAAUAAGAUUUGUAGUCUAAUUUCCCAACUGUAAGCAUUCUCAGUAUAUCUGUCUAGUGAGGCUAAUAGCGAUGUGAUAAUUACCAAGGAAUCUUAUUCCUGCUAUCUUAAUAGUUGUUCAUAAACCAUGCUCUGUUACACUAUGCUAGUAUAUACUAUCCUGCUAUGUUAAAAUCAGUACCAUCUCCCUCCUUCCCUCUAGUUCUAUUGCUGUAGUGAUAUACCCCAGAUCUUUUGUCCACCUCACACCUAUUGAAAUUCCUAGAUUUAUACAUCUUUUUAUUUGACUCCAAACUAACAAAAACACUGGCCUGUAGAACAGAGGGGCUGCUUGCUGGUUGUCUGCCUCUGCAUGUUGGAUCCAACUGGGCCAAAGCCAUAGCUGAGUGUUGCAAGCACUAACUGUAAGAGCCAUAGCUGAGUGUUGCAAGCACUAACUGUAAACCUGUGUGCUCUGGCCUACAGGCCGUUUUACAGGUUUAGAGAGGUCCUUGGUCAGAAAAUUCAGUUACCUAUUCGCAGAGGGCUCCGAGCCUGCCCAUGGCCAGUCAUCUAUUCUGCCCAGUGACAACAGCGGUGCUGAC
rnacentral:lncRNA from 1 species